rnacentral:rRNA from 1 species
AGAGUUUGAUCCUGGCUCAGAUUGAACGCUGGCGGCAUGCUUUACACAUGCAAGUCGAACGGCAGCACGGGUGCUUGCACCUGGUGGCGAGUGGCGAACGGGUGAGUAAUGCACCGGAACGUACCCAGUAAUGGGGGAUAACACAUCGAAAGAUGUGCUAAUACCGCAUACGCCCUGAGGGGGAAAGCGGGGGAUCGUAAGACCUCGCGUUAUCGGAGCGGCCGAUGCCGGAUUAGCUAGUUGGUGAGGUAAGAGCUCACCAAGGCGACGAUCCGUAGCUGGUCUGAGAGGACGACCAGCCACACUGGGACUGAGACACGGCCCAGACUCCUACGGGAGGCAGCAGUGGGGAAUUUUGGACAAUGGGCGCAAGCCUGAUCCAGCCAUGCCGCGUGAGUGAAGAAGGCCUUCGGGUUGUAAAGCUCUUUCGCAAGGAAAGAAAACUUAUCUACUAA